GAGUAGAUUCCGGUUGGCGUCCUCGCUGAGUGGCACAUUGUCCUUCAUGGAUCGUUCCACGGCCGCCGCUUCAGCUUCGGCGUCACCACAAAAAUCUGCAGUAAAACGAGCAAAUAGAAAUUACAAACCGAGUGUUCGUCACAAGAUACAAUCACUCGACAAAUCAUCAGACUUACCAGCCAGACGACUCAUCAUCUGGACAGCCCAGUCGUUCACAUACUUCUCCUGAGCUGUCCAUCGUUUGUUCCGAGCAGCCAUUUGAUCGUACACUUCGGUCCUCUGUUUCUUCAGCCUCUCCACCUCCGCCACCAACGCCCUGUUUGCC
rnacentral:lncRNA from 1 species